rnacentral:rRNA from 1 species
UACGGGGGGGCGAGCGUUGUUCGGAAUUACUGGGCGUAAGGGUUCGUAGGUGGCCAACUAAGUCAGACGUGAAAUCCCUCAGCUUAACUGGGGACUGCGUCUGAUACUGGUUGGCUUGAGUGCAGGAGAGGAACGCGGAAUUCCAGGUGUAGCGGUGAAAUGCGUAGAUAUCUGGAGGAACACCGGUGGCGAAGGCGGCGUUCUGGACUGGCAACUGACACUGAGGAACGAAAGCCAGGGGAGCAAACAGG